rnacentral:rRNA from 1 species
AGUGAACGCUGGCGGCGUGCUUAACACAUGCAAGUCGAACGAGAACGGGAUAUAGCUUGCUAUAUUUGUCAGCUAAGUGGCGCACGGGUGAGUAAUGUAUAGGUAAUAUGCCUCUUACUAAGGGAUAACAAUUGGAAACGAUAGCUAAUACCUUAUAUGCCUUUAAGACUAAAGUCUGCAAGGGAAAGAUUUAUUGGUAAGAGAUUAGCCUGUAUUGUAUCAGCUAGUUGGUGAGGUAAUGGCUCACCAAGGCUAUGACGCAUAACUGGUUUGAGAGGAUGAUCAGUCACACUGAAACUGAGACACGGUCCAGACUCCUACGGGAGGCAGCAGUGGGGAAUAUUGCACAAUGGACGAAAGUCUGAUGCAGCAACGCCUCGUGGAGGAUGACACAUUUCGGUGCGUAAACUCCUUUUAUAUAGGAAGAUAAUGACGGUACUAUAUGAAUAAGCACCGGCUAACUCCGUGCCAGCAGCCGCAGUAA